rnacentral:rRNA from 1 species
CAGUAGCCACGGGAAUACGUAGGGUGCAAGCGUUAAUCGGAAUUACUGGGCGUAAAGCGUGCGCAGGCGGUUAUAUAAGACAGAUGUGAAAUCCCCGGGCUCAACCUGGGAACUGCAUUUGUGACUGUAUAGCUAGAGUACGGCAGAGGGGGAUGGAAUUCCGCGUGUAGCAGUGAAAUGCGUAGAUAUGCGGGGGAACACCGAUGGCGAAGGCAAUCCCCUGGGCCUGUACUGACGCUCAUGCACGAAAGCGUGGGGAGCAAACAGGAUUAGAUACCCCCGUAGUCCCUGUCUCUUAUAC